AUUUGGUGGUGAGGGCAGCUAGCAAAUAGCCUCUUAAAUCUCUCCUAAUACUCAUAUAAUGACUCUCCAGUCUGUUGGCGAAUGCCACAGAUUUCAUUCCUUAUACU